UACGGAAGGCAGCAGUGGGGAAUAUUGGACAAUGGGCGAAAGCCUGAUCCAGCCAUGCCGCAUGAGUGAAGAAGGCCUUCGGGUUGUAAAGCUCUUUUAGUGAGAAAGAUAAUGACGGUACUCACAGAAGAAGUCCUGGCUAACUCCGUGCCAGCAGCCGCGGUAAUACGGAGAGGGCUAGCGUUAUUCGGAAUUAUUGGGCGUAAAGAGCGCGUAGGCUGAUUAGUAAGUUAAAAGUGAAAUCCCAAAGCUUAACUUUGGAAUUGCUUUUUAAAAACUGCUAGUCUAGAGAUUGAAAGAGGAUAAGAGGAAUUCCUAGUGUAGAGGUGAAAUUCGUAAAUAUUAGGAGGAACACCAGUGGCGAAGGCGUCUAUCUGGUUCAAAUCUGACGCUGAGGCGCGAAAGGGCGUGGGGAGCGAAACAGGGAUUAGAUACC
rnacentral:rRNA from 1 species